rnacentral:tRNA from 1 species
GGGAAUGAAGUUCAGUGACAGAACACUUGCCUAGCAAGCAUGAGGCCCUGGGUUCCAUGCCCAGCACUGCAA